GUGCGACCUCAGGAUGGGCGGGGUGACCCGCUGAGUUUAAGCAUAUCAAUAAGCGGAGGAGAGGAAACUUACGAGGAUUCCCCUA
rnacentral:rRNA from 1 species